UGAACGCUGGCGGCGUGCCUAAUACAUGCAAGUCGAGCGAACAGACGAGGAGCUUGCUCCUCUGACGUUAGCGGCGGACGGGUGAGUAACACGUGGAUAGCCUACCUAUAAGACUGGGAUAACUUCGGGAAACCGGAGCUAAUACCGGAUAAUAUAUUGAACCGCAUGGUUCAAUAGUGAAAGACGGUUUUGCUGUCACUUAUAGAUGGAUCCGCGCCGCAUUAGCUAGUUGGUAAGGUAACGGCUUACCAAGGCAACGAUGCGUAGCCGACCUGAGAGGGUGAUCGGCCACACUGGAACUGAGACACGGUCCAGACUCCUACGGGAGGCAGCAGUAGGGAAUCUUCCGCAAAGGGCGAAAGCCUGACGGAGCAACGCCGCGUGAGUGAUGAAGGUCUUCGGAUCGUAAAACUCUGUUAUUAGGGAAGAACAAAUGUGUAAGUAACUAUGCACGUCUUGACGGUACCUAAUCAGAAAGCCACGGCUAACUACGUG
rnacentral:rRNA from 1 species